rnacentral:rRNA from 1 species
UACGGAGGGUGCGAGCGUUAUUCGGAAUUACUGGGCGUAAAGGGCGCGUAGGCGGCCGAAUUUGUCCGAUGUGAAAGCCCGGGGCUUAACCUCGGAAGUGCAUUGGAAACGGUUCGGCUUGAGUGUCGGAGAGGGUGAGGGAAUUCCCGGUGUAGAGGUGAAGUUCGUAGAGAUCGGGAGGAAUACCAGUGGCGAAGGCGCCCACCUGGACGAUGACUGACGCUGAGGCGCGAAAGCGUGGGGAGCAAACAGGAUUAGAUACCCUGGUAGUCCACGCUGUAAACGAUGAGCACUAGGUGUAGCGGGGUUUUAAACCUGCUGUGCCGCAGCUAACGCGUUAAGUGCUCCGCCUGGGGAGUACGGUCGCAAGACUAAA